rnacentral:tRNA from 1 species
GCGCCCGUAGCUCAAUUGGAUAGAGCGUCUGACUACGGAUCAGAAGGUUGGGAGUUCGAGUCUCUCCGGGCGCGCCA